GAAAUGACAAUGCUGGAGGAAAUCUUCAAUUUAAGAUCUAAACCAACAAAAUGAUGAUCUCUACCACAAUUUAUUAGAAUGUUUCACAAUCACAAGGAAAGCAAAUAAACAAUCAUCCCUAUUUUCAUAAUUACAAAUUGUUUGCAGUGGACACAAAUUUUUAGAACCAUCAUUGAAGGAGACUCUCUUAUUGUAAUUCAAGCACUGAUGAAAGGGGCCCGUGUCCUCUGAAGAUUUCGGCCGUUAUUGAUGACAUCAAAGUUCUCUCGCAAAGGCCAGAAGAAGUUUCUUUUUCUUUUGUCUGUAGGCAAGUGAAUGAUAUAGCUCAUGUUCGUGCAUCAAAUGUGCUUCAUGAUCACUCGUUCCUCUGUAAUCAUUUUCAACAGGCUAUGAUUGUAUCAUCUCUGUUGCCUGGUUAGGCGUUUAAUGAAAUCUUAUCUUUUAAAAAAAAUAUAUAAUUACAAACUGCGAGCAUAGGUCAGAAGAUUGGUUUCAGGCACCAAAACCACAACAUGGACAAUAAAUCAUCUUCUGAUCCACCACAAUUCCCUAGAAGAAGCAGUUCUUCAUAAACAUACAGCACAGUCCCUCGACCUAUAAGGAAUCUAGGAAAUGAAUAUGAUUAUUUUGUUUAUGAUGACAAGCAGUGAAGGAUUAUUCAAAGCACUUGUCAUUUGGAAACCUUGAAAAAUGAACUUGCCCUACGAGGUUUUGUUUUUCUUUUGGCCUCAGAAGAAGCUGUUCAAGUUAAAAUAAAGGACGAAUUCAUAAUGGAAUCCAAGAAAUGAGUGAAAAGAGAGUUUUGUUUUUGGUGACCUUAAUAAUGAAAAGAUAGUUUUGUUUUUGGUGACCUUAAUAAUGAAAAGAU
rnacentral:misc_RNA from 1 species